CACAGGAACGUUUCCGCAGGUCCCAUUUGGACCCUCCUGUUCCCUGAGGACUGAAAAUUCAAAACAAUCCAACUUUUGCAAACAAUCCACGAGUAAUGCAUUUUUACAUUAAGGGUCCCGUUUGGCCCCUCCUGUUCCCUGAGGACUGAAAAUUCAAAACAAUCCAACUUUUGCAAACAAUCCACGAGCAAUGCAUUUUUACAUUCAGAGUGAUUAUUAACACAUUCUCUGUCACACCGAAUUUCCUUUUUUUUUAAUAAUGUUUAUUUACACACCUUUGGUAAAUACAAAGACAUGCCGUCGUUUGGAACAUGAUUAAGAAAAUUGAUACCACAAACUAUAUCUGGCUCUUGAUACUCUAACUAUUGAACUUCUUGAUUAAUAAAUGAUAAUCGUCAUAA